CAAACACUUGGGCGCGCGCACACUCACGCACCCCACCAGCUCUUUGGGGGAUGUUUUCAGCUUCUCCUAAUGAGCUCCCAAUCAUCACAGAAUUUACAGAAUUACAAAAUCUCAGACUUAUAAGGUCAUUGGAUCAUGGAAUGGAUCAAAGAGGGAUCUAGUCUAAUUUUUUUUCAUCUUACAAAUGAAGAAAACUGAAGGAGACCAACUGAUUUGACCAAGAUCACCUAAGUAGUGAGCAUCCAUCAGAAUUUGAACUGAGGUUCCCUGGCUCCAGAGGUAGCUGUGGAUAGGGUGCUGUGUUGGGAGGCAGAAAGACUCAUAGUGUUGAAUACCUAUCCAGCCUCAGGUACUUUGUAGUUGUGUGACCCUGAGAGAGUCACCUAACCUUGCUUGAAUCAGUGUAUUCAUCUAUAAAAUGAGCUGGAGAAGGAAAUGGCAGCCAACUCCAACAUCUUUGCCAGGAAAAUCCCAAAAGGGAUCACAAAGAGUCAUAUACAGCUGAAACUACUGAACAAUAACAACCCCUCACUCCAGAGUCCGUGCUCUUUCUACUGUAUCACAAUGAAUCAGAAGGGACCUUACGGCCAUCUAGCCCGAGCUAUACCUGAACAAGAAUCUCUACUACAACAUCCUCAAUAAAUUGUCCUCUAGUCUGUGCCUGAAGAUCUCUAGGGAGAGGGAAGUAAUGAAAAAGAGAUUCACUGUCUCUGGGGCUUUUCCUUUCAUCAAGCCAACAUCUACCCUCAGAAGUCGCACAGAACAUAGAACAAGUCUAACAUCUAUUCUAUAAGCAUAUUCUAAAAAUAAUAAUAUAUACUUGAAGACAGCUCUCAAAGUCAGUUUUUGCCAAGUCUUCACUCCAAGUUUAAAAUCUCCACUUCCUUCACCAGAUCUUCAUAUGACACAAGGUUGAAGUCCUUCUCUAGCUGUACACUCUCCAAUAAAUCUUUCCUAAAAUGCAGUGAUAUAAUGGAUAGAACACCAGCUCUGAAGUCACCAAGAGCCCAAGUCAAUCCAGCCUCCCUGGCGAAUUACAGCUUCUGUUUGCUUCAGUGUCUCCAACUAUAAAAUUAGGGUAAUAAUAGCAUCUACCUCCCAGACUCGUUGUGAAGAUCAAAUGAAAUAAUAUUUGUAAACACACUGGGCACCAUGCCUGGCACAUAGAUCUAGCCCUGGGAGCUGGAUGCAUGUCCCCAAAACCAUGGAUUCCUUGGAUUGAAAGAGAUAUCCUGGAAGGACUGUAAUUAUGUCAUUUACAGACUGAGCAAUGCCUGACUUCCAUUCUGCUCAGUCCCAUGAAUGCUUGUUUUUCCUAGCAUGUGGGGAAUACAAAAAUGAACAAAAAUGAACACAAGCCUUGACCUCAUGGAGCUUCUAGUCUACGAGAAAAUAAAUUUCAGGGACCCAAAAGCAAAGUUAAACUAGGGUAAGAACACCUCAAAUGGGGCAAGUGAAAGUACCCAUUGUUCUCUCCCCUGUAUGUUGAGUUCUGUUCUGGACACAGCAUUUUAUGGAAGUUGUUAACAAGUCAGAGAGCAGCCAGAAAAAGAGGGAUCAUGAUAGUGAGGAGCCUGGAGACCAUGACAUUCAAAAGCAGGUUAUAGAAAAUGCAAAUGUUUAGCCUAGAGAAGAGGGACACAAAAUCUAUCUUCAGGUACUUAAAGAUCUAUGAAGGAGAGGGCAGCUAGGUAGGUCAGUAGAUUGAGAGCCAGACUCAGAGAUGGGAGUCCUGGGUUCAAAUGUGACCUCAGACAUUAUGAACUGUGUGAACCUGGGCAAGUCACUUAACCUUCACUGCCUAUCCCUUAUCACUCUUCUGCCUUGGAACUAAUAUACAGCAUUGAUUCUAAGAUGGAAGGUAAGCAUUAAAAAAAAAAAUCUUUGAAAGAGAAGAAGGAUUAAUUUGCUCUACUUGGUUCCUAAUGGGCAAAACAAAGAACAAUGAUGUAAUAUCAUCCAAUCCAUAAUCAUCCAAUAAUGGGAAAGGGAAUGGGAAUUGGAAAACAGGGGGAUAAUGGGAGGUUUGUAGCAGGGUAUGGAGGAAAGAGGGGAGAAAGGGUAUAUUGCUUGGUGAGGCAAGGGAGGGAGAUGCCCCCUGCUGAGAGGAAGCAGCAGGGGUUCGAUAAGGACUCUUAGUCCUGGAAUGACUGAACUGAAGUUCAGCUCCCUCUAUGACCAGAAAAGAUAGUCCACUUAUCUGACUGCGAAUUAAAAGAAUAUAAAGUUUAAUACCCAGUUGGAAUUGGAGUUUUUUCUCAGCUUCAGACCUGAGGCCAGGCCCCAGAGGCUGGCAGAGGGUUUGUCCCACUCUCAUCUACUCUAUAUCAGUCCAGUUUGUAUAAUUCAGAAUCUUAGCAGUAGAUAGAAAGCAAACAAGAACAGGUCUAACUUUCAGAAGCAAUUGGGCCUGAAUCUUCGGGCUGAACCAAGAAGAGGCACACCACACCAGACUGGGCUGACAAGCUCCUUCCUCUUCCAACACCAGGAAGCAAGUCCCCCCCGCCAGGCAGGAAGUGCUAGUCACAAGACCCAGCUGCCAUUCCCAGUUGGCCCCUUCCCCCACAAACUGUCAGUCUUGUUUCCUUUCCACAGUGAAAACUGUGUAGGUAGCACUUAAGCUGAACCUUCAGAGAAAAGAAAA